GACGAACGCUGGCGGCGUGCUUAACACAUGCAAGUCGAACGGAAAGGCCCUGCUUUUGUGGGGUGCUCGAGUGGCGAACGGGUGAGUAACACGUGAGUAACCUGCCCUUGACUUUGGGAUAACUUCAGGAAACUGGGGCUAAAACCGGAUAGGAGCUCCUGCUGCAUGGUGGGGGUUGGAAAGUUUCGGCGGUUGGGGAUGGACUCGCGGCUUAUCAGCUUGUUGGUGGGGUAGUGGCUUACCAAGGCUUUGACGGGUAGCCGGCCUGAGAGGGUGACCGGCCACAUUGGGACUGAGAUGCGGCCCAGACUCCUACGGGAGGCAGCAGUGGGGAAUAUUGCACAAUGGGCGGAGGCCUGAUGCAGCAACGCCGCGUGCGGGAUGACGGCCUUCGGGUUGUAAACCGCUUUCGCCUGUGACGAAGCGUGAGUGACGGUAAUGGGUAAAGAAGCACCGGCUAACUACGUG
rnacentral:rRNA from 1 species